GUGGUCUACACCCCACCCUUUGGCCCCUGUCCCAAGCACACGCUGCAACUUGCCGUCCUCUCUUUUUCUGUUUAAAACACGAGGUUCUACCAGGUUUGUAAACAUUACACGUCCAGUUAUUGGUGGGUUUAAGGAGCUAAGACUC